UGUUUCACAAAGAAUCACGAGCCACUAAUCCUAUUCCAACUACUCCCCCUUCAAUGCAUGAAGCAUGCACAUUAAUUUUUACUAGGUGGGUUAGUGGCUUCUUCCAUAUGGCUGAGCUCGUCGAGCCUGGAGCGGGGAAGAUUUCAAAAAUCAACAAUAAGCAUUACUUUGAGGAAUUCAUCAUGCUUCCUAUUUGCAAUUUCAACCAUUUUUUCCGGUGUCCUCAAUUUUUUCUUCAAAAAUCAAUUUAUUUCUGGCUGUCUAAAUGGUUUGCUGUUGACUGAAGGGAAAGUGGGAUUUGGAACUAGAAGCUCCUUACAAAUUUACAUUCUAUGAAGAGAUUUUUCUUUCUCAACAGUGAUCUUUUCAAGAUUCUCCAUGCGCAAUUGAUGGCCCUAGGGUGCACCUUUAUUUUCCAAAGUAUUUUCAAAUUUGAUUCAUCUAAAUCUGUUGAUGGAGAGCUUCUAUUUUGAAAAUUUUUUUCUAUGUAUAUGUGGUAAGCUUCUCUAACCUUGAAUUCUCUAUUUCUAGAAAAUUGUAAAAAAAAUUGAUCUAUUUGUUAGGUU